rnacentral:rRNA from 1 species
CUACGGGAGGCAGCAGUGGGGAAUUUUGGACAAUGGGGGAAACCCUGAUCCAGCCAUGCCGCGUGAGUGAAGAAGGCCUUCGGGUUGUAAAGCUCUUCAGCCGGAACGAAACGGUCACGGCUAAUACCUGUGACUACUGACGUA